rnacentral:rRNA from 1 species
UGUCUUCUAAAUAAAGACCAGUAUGAACGGCUAAAUGAGGACAAACCUGUCUCUUGCAACUAAUCAGUGAAACUGAUCUUCCGGUCCAAAAGCCGGAAUACCCCCAUAAGACGAGAAGACCCUGUGGAGCUUCAAACAAACUACUAUGUAGUUUACCAAAGCCGCAGCCAGUAGCAAACGUUUUGAGUUGGGGCGACUUCGGAAACAAAAAAAACUUCCGAGCACAGAACCACCAGUUCUUACCAAGACCAACAAGUCAAAGCUUUAAAGCACGACCCAGUAACACUGACCAACGAACCAAGUUACCCCAGGGAUAACAGCGCCAUCUUCUUCAAGAGUCCAUAUCGACAAGAAGGUUUACGACCUCGAUGUUGGAUCAGGACACCCCAAUGGUGCAGCCGCUAUUAAAGGUUCGUUUGUUCAACGAUUAACAGU